rnacentral:rRNA from 1 species
AAUGAACGAGCGGGGUGUGUUGUCUGUUCACGAGAAUCUGUUUUGUGUGCGCUCUGGAGAUAGUGUGACCGCAGGAGGGAAACUUAAAAAGAUUGACGGAGGGACCCCACCGGGAGUGGAGUGUGCGGUUUAUUUUGACUCACCGCG